AUUGAACGCUGGCGGCAUGCCUUACACAUGCAAGUCGAACGGUAACAGGUCUUCGGAUGCUGACGAGUGGCGAACGGGUGAGUAAUACAUCGGAACGUGCCCGAUCGUGGGGGAUAACGAAGCGAAAGCUUUGCUAAUACCGCAUACGAUCUACGGAUGAAAGCAGGGGACCGCAAGGCCUUGCGCGAACGGAGCGGCCGGUGGCAGAUUAGGUAGUUGGUGGGAUAAAAGCUUACCAAGCCGACGAUCUGUAGCUGGUCUGAGAGGACGACCAGCCACACUGGGACUGAGACACGGCCCAGACUCCUACGGGAGGCGGCAGUGGGGAAUUUUGGACAAUGGGCGAAAGCCUGAUCCAGCCAUGCCGCGUGCAGGAUGAAGGCCUUCGGGUUGUAAACUGCUUUUGUACGGAACGAAAAGACUCUGGUUAAUACCUGGGGUCCAUGACGGCACCGUAAGAAUAAGCACCGGCUAACUACGUGCCAGCAGCCGCGGUAA
rnacentral:rRNA from 1 species